rnacentral:rRNA from 1 species
CAGUCGCCACGGGAAUACGAAGGGGGCUAGCGUUGUUCGGAUUUACUGGGCGUAAAGGGCGCGUAGGCGGACUGAUAAGUCAGGGGUGAAAUCCCAAGGCUCAACCUUGGAACUGCCUUUGAUACUGUUUGUCUUGAGUUCGAGAGAGGUAAGUGGAACUGCGAGUGUAGAGGUGAAAUUCGUAGAUAUUCGCAAGAACACCAGUGGCGAAGGCGGCUUACUGGCUCGAAACUGACGCUGAGGCGCGAAAGCGUGGGGAGCAAACAGGAUUAGAUACCCCUGUAGUCCCUGUCUCUUAUAA